UAAUGAGACUGCCGGUGACAAACCGGAGGAAGGUGGGGAUGACGUCAAGUCCUCAUGGCCCUUAUGGUAGGGCUUCACACGUCAUACAAUGGUCGGUACAGAGGUUGCCAAGCCGCGAGGUGGAGCCAAUCCCUUAAAGCCGAUCGUAGUCCGGAUCGUAGUCUGCAACUCGACUACGUGAAGUCGGAAUCGCUAGUAAUCGCAGAUCAGCAUGCUGCGGUGAAUACGUUCCCGGGUCUU
rnacentral:rRNA from 1 species